GACGAACGCUGGCGGCGUGCUUAACACAUGCAAGUCGAACGGAAAGGCCCUGCUUUUGUGGGGUGCUCGAGUGGCGAACGGGUGAGUAACACGUGAGUAACCUGCCCUUGACUUUGGGAUAACUUCAGGAAACUGGGGCUAAUACCGGAUAGGAGCUCCUGCUGCAUGGUGGGGGUUGGAAAGUUUCGGCGGUUGGGGAUGGACUCGCGGCUUAUCAGCUUGUUGGUGGGGUAGUGGCUUACCAAGGCUUUGACGGGUAGCCGGCCUGGGAGGGUGACCGGCCACAUUGGGACUGAGAUACGGCACAGACUCCUACGGGAGGCAGCGGUGGAGAGUAGUGCACAAUGGGAGGAAGGCUGAUGCAGCAACGCCGCGUGCGGUAUGACGGCCUUCGGGUUGUAAACCGCUUUCGCCUGUGACGAAGCGUGAGUGACGGUAAUGGGUAAAGAAGCACCGGCUAACUACGUG
rnacentral:rRNA from 1 species